rnacentral:rRNA from 1 species
UGGGGAAUAUUGGACAAUGGGCGAAAGCCUGAUCCAGCCAUGCCGCGUGUGUGAAGAAGGUCUUCGGAUUGUAAAGCACUUUAAGUUGGGAGGAAGGGCAUUAACCUAAUACGUUGGUGUCUUGACGUUACCGACAGAAUAAGCACCGGCUAACUCUGUGCCAGCAGCCGCGGUAAUACAGAGGGUGCAAGCGUUAAUCGGAAUUACUGGGCGUAAAGCGCGCGUAGGUGGUUUGUUAAGUUGAAUGUGAAAUCCCCGGGCUCAACCUGGGAACUGCAUCCAAAACUGGCAAGCUGGAGUAUGGUGGAGGGGAGAGGAAUUUCCUGGGAGGCGGGGAAAUGGGUAGAUAUAGGAAGGAAAACCAGUGGCGAAGGCGACGACCGGGACAGAUACGGACACUGAGGUGCGAAAGCGUGGGGGGCAAACA